GGGACCGCCGCCCCAGCUCGAGGACCCGUUAGACCGGCAAACCGCAGUCCCUGCCCCGCGGGCUUCCUUUACUUUUUGGGAGUGGGGGGCGGUUUCCCUGCUUUUUCCACCACAGCCCCUCCUCCCGCCGCAAUGUGGCUGAUGCUCAUAAAAAGUUGUAUUAAAGAGCUGACUGCAGCCGAGAAUCGAUCAACAAAAGCGACCAGCCUCUCUGGGUCUAUCCACGGCCUUCUCAACAGAUGACUUCAAGUUGAUUUCGUGCUUUAUUUCUUAAGAAUAGUGACUAACCUAAGGGAUCUGAUUCAAUUUAUUAGGAACACAGUGCCACCUUCCAAAAUUACUUACCUAAGAGGACUGAGCCUGCUGUCCCUGGAGCAGUUAGCUAAAACAGUGCCUCAGUACGGAGCGUACCUGUGUUAACUUCUAGAGUGCUGUUUCCGGCAGCUGCUGAAAUCCACGCUGAGGUUAUCAAGCUCAUCCUACAAAAUAAAGCAAGUUCUUCGCAAUUUAAAGCAAAAAUCUGGGCUUAUUUUUAGGGUUUUGGGGGAUGUGAAAGUUGUCUUAGAUAAGAUUCCAGGAAAGCUAAGAACUAACGAUGCAAUUACAGUCACCUUUCAACAACUUUGGGGAUUGGGUUGAGGAAGGUGUGAAAUUGGGAAAUAUAAUAAAAGGUAUUAUAUUAGUGACUUUC
ensembl:lncRNA CT66 cancer/testis associated transcript 66